rnacentral:sRNA from 1 species
CUAGAACUUGUUGCAGUACCAGAAGACGCCCUUGUGGUCCUUGGACUGGAUGUAGAUGCACUCCUUAGCCUCGCGCCAUAUCGCCUUGACGACGGGUGUGGGGUCGAACUGGUAGUACUCUCUGAGGACGGGUGGAUCACCUUGGUCGCCUCCACCAUGUGGUAGUGCGGGAUGGUAGGGAACAUGUGGUGCGCGACGUGCGUAUCCGUGAUAUUGUGGAACACUCGGUUGAGGAAGCCGUAGUCGCGGUCCACGGUGGCGAGCGCCCCGCGCAGCCAGUCCCACUCGUUGGAAUUCGUAGUGUGGGAUCGCUCGGUGAGUGUGAUGGAGGUGUAGGUGACGACCACCAG